rnacentral:rRNA from 1 species
ACCCCNCNCUGUGUGAAGAAGGCCUGCGGGAUUNGUAAAGCNNUUNUANUGGGNAUGAAAAGUGCAGAGCUAAUAUCUCUGCAUCUUGACCUAACCCACAGAAAAAGCACCGGCUAACUCUGUGCCAACAGCCGCGGUAAUACAGAGGGUGCGAGCGUUAAUCGGAAUUACUGGGCGUAAAGCGUGCGUAGACGGUUACAUAAGUCGGGUGUGAAAGCCCCGGGCUCAACCUGGGAAUUGCAUUCGAGACUGCGUAGCUAGGGUGCGGAAGAGGGAAGCGGAAUUUCCGGUGUAGCGGUGAAAUGCGUAGAUAUCGGAAGGAACACCAGUGGCGAAAGCGGCUUCCUGGUCCAGCACCGACGUUCAGGCACGAAAGCGUGGGGAGCAAACAGGAUUAGAUACCCUGGUAGUCCACGCCAUAAACGAUGAGAACUAGACGUUGAAGGGGUAAGCCCUCCAGUGUCGUAGCUAACGCGCUAAGUUCUCCGCCUGGGGAGUACGGCCGCAAGGUUGAAACUCAAAGAAAUUGACGGA